UAGGGAAUCUUCCGCAAUGGGCGAAAGCCUGACGGAGCAAUGCCGCGUGAGUGAUGAAGGUUUUCGGAUCGUAAAGCUCUGUUGCCAGGGAAGAACGUCCUUGAGAGUAACUGCUCAAGGAGUGACGGUACCUGAGAAGAAAGCCCCGGCUAACUACGUGCCAGCAGCCGCGGUAAUACGUAGGGGGCAAGCGUUGUCCGGAAUUAUUGGGCGUAAAGCGCGCGCAGGCGGUCAUUUAAGUCUGGUGUUUAAUCCCGGGGCUCAACCCCGGAUCGCACUGGAAACUGGAUGACUUGAGUGCAGAAGAGGAGAGUGGAAUUCCACGUGUAGCGGUGAAAUGCGUAGAGAUGUGGAGGAACACCAGUGGCGAAGGCGACUCUCUGGGCUGUAACUGACGCUGAGGCGCGAAAGCGUGGGGAGCAAACAGG
rnacentral:rRNA from 1 species